GCUCUUGUGGCCAAGGGGUAAGGCGUCGCACUUGUAAUGCGAAGAUCUGGAGUUCAAAUCUCUACUGGAGCA